ensembl:lncRNA
GUGACUCGGUGACGGUGCGAUUAUAACGCGAGGACGUGACUCGGUGACGGUGGGAUUAUAACGCGAGGACGUGACUCGGUGACGAUGGGAUUAUAAGCGAGGACGUGACUCGGUGACGGUGGGAUUAUAAAGCGAGGACGUGACUCGGUGACGGCGGGAUUAUAAAGCGAGGACGUGACUCGUGACGGCGGGAUUAUAAAGCGAGGACGUGACUCGGUGACGGCGGGAUUAUAAAGCGAGGACGUGACUCGGUGACGGCGGGAUUAUAAAGCGAGGACGUGACUCGGUGACGGCGGGAUUAUAAAGCGAGGACGUGACUCGGUGACGGUGGGAUUAAAAAGCGAGGACGUGACUCGGUGACGGUGGGAUUAUAAAGCGAGGACGUGACUCGUAACGGUGGGAUUAUAACGCGAGUGCGUUCACUAGAAAGAUCUGUUUACAAUCCACUAGUGAACUUGAAAUCGACUGACAGACAUGAGAAUGAGCGAGCGGUGCGUGUCGGGAAGACACGGCGUCAGCGUGUUGGACUCGGACGUCCACUCGAGUAAUAACGCCGCGUCGGCGGUGUAAAAAAGUCGAGUGUUUGCUCAUCGAAACGCAGGAUCAUCCGCUCCGUGCGUUUAGAUCGGACACUCGCUCUUCACCUCUCCUACACUCGCCACCUUUCCCUCUUCACCUCUCACCGUAUCUUUUCUCGCAACCCUCCACUAACAGCCCGUUACUCUGGGAAGGAAAAAGGAAAUAAAGUCUCAGAUCACGAAUCUGCACCGUUCCGUGCAAAAGACCGGCUGGAGAGAAGAUGUAAUAAAGAAGACAUUAUACGAACAGACAUUAUCGUUAAGCCACGCCAUGAACGACGUUAUCUUCGAUUAAAUAUACGGAAACAGAAAAGGAACGUGAUAAAAAAAAAAAGCACGCGUCUCAGUAAACCGGUGGGCCGAGGCCACACUCUCUGGAUCAUCAGACUUUAGAAGAUCGCAUCUAAAGCCGUCACCAUGAUGUACGAUUUUGGCUAUGAACGUUUUUUAGCACAUAGCACCGUUCCCAUUCUCUCUUUAAGGACUAUUGGGCUUUAAUGAAACAGAAAAAGGGGUUGUUGGGACAAACAGAAGAGAGAGAGAGAGAGAGAGAGAGAGAGAGAGAGAGAGAGAGAGAGAGAGAGAGAGAGCGCAAUCUUUC